UCUGCUCGGCGUCGCAAUGCGGCCUGCGUCAUUUUCUGGUGCUCGCGCAAUCGGUGUGAAACAUGUCGCAUGUGAAAUGUUUGAUAGAAGUGCCUCACGUCCAAGUCAAGCCGCCGUACGGGUGUAUGGCUGUGCGCCCCGUUCUCGGAAGCGUCGACGGGUUUCCGGCAUGCGGAUUUCAGCGUUUGGACUCUACUUUUGGUGAGGAUGUCGAUCGACCUUGGGCCUGGCGACAGCACACCCGACAUCGCCAAAGUGCAGCCUAUCAGUUGAGUGCCCCCGAAUGGACCAUCAACAUUGGAAAAUGAAGCAGAGCCAGGGGGAAAAGGUUCCGGUAACACUGCAUUCAGUAUGGUGGCCCAGACGUGUAUGCAAGCAACCUCCUUCAUGUGGACCAAGAACUACUCUGCAGUGUCUCACAGACUUCCAUGCGAAGCCCUCAACAUUCUCGUCUCAGUGGAAUGGCUGCUCAUCUAUCUGCGUGUCCAUCACCAAGAUGGCCAGUUGUAAAGCUCCUGUACCCGUUUAAGACAGCUUAAUGAUUUUUUUAAUUUAGUUUUCAUGGUUAGCCGUAGAAUCUUAACAUUUUUGAUGUUUCUAACGUUUUUACCUGGCCCAAAGUGGUGCAAUAACUUUAAACCAGUGUAAUGUAUUUAAGUGAUGCUCACUCUAAUGCCUAUCUGGUUUUGUUUGUGUUUAAGAAAUUUGAAUGUCUGAUGAGGUAACAGCAUUUAAACUUGUCAUCGUGGCUCUUUUCAGUGAGCUGCUAGGAAAUAAGAUGCAAAACUUAUCACACGCCAGUUGUAGCAUUUUUGUUUUCAAGACUAAAGUAUACAUGUUUCAAAAGAUGGAAAGUGGGGAAAAAAGCCUCAAGAACAUAAUCAUCCUAGGAUUGUCAUGUCCUUACAACUCUGCAAUGACUAAUGCCUCAUACAUCUUGGGAGCACAUUGGUCGCAAUGCCUACAGGUAUACUUGAUAAGAGAAUAGCUUGCACUCAGAUUUGCCACGCAGUUGAUGGCUGAUAGCUUUUGUUUGUCGUCUUCAUGUUACUACUAUGUAUUCAAUAUUCAUUUACACGUGCUGCGGUUUUUUGCA